rnacentral:misc_RNA from 1 species
CGGAAAAAGAUGAUGGUAAGGCUCUACCUCUACAGGAGUGCUAAUAUCAUGUUUCUUUUCUCUAUUGGGACAUUUGUCAAACACCUUCCGAUCUCGCAACAAAACGCGUUUUAUCCUCGCAGAAUCAACGCAAAAAGGAUAGUUACAACAUCAUCUCAUAACUCUUCCUGUUUUGAGACCCUGACUUCCCGCCAAAAAAACCAGAUUCACCAUUACAUUGAGGCUCUUCUCGAUUGGAACCAGAAAAUGAAUCUUACUGCGGUCACGGACGUGAAUGAAGUCAUGAAAAGGCAUAUAGAGGACUCGCUUGCAAUGCUACCUCCUAUUCGUGAUUCUUAUGUUUCGCAUUGCAACUCUUCGAUUGACAAUCUCAAACUUGUUGAUGUUGGGACUGGUCCUGGGCUUCCUGGACUGGUUUUAGCUAUUGCUUGUCCUGGUUGGAAAGUAACCCUUUUGGAGUCCAUGAACAAGCGUUGCGUUUUCUUGGAGCAUGCAGUGAGCGUUACUGGGUUGUCAAAUGUUGAAGUUGUAAGGGGUAGAGCAGAGGUAUUGUUCCUUACCUAAGUACUUCAUGACCUUGUUUGUUGGCAGGCAUUGUUUGAAUGAUCAUAUUCCACCGUUAAUAAGGUAUAUAAUUGUAUACGUGCAUUAUUGAAAAUCUAGACACACAUGAGGUUUGAGUCUCCUUGACUGGACUGGCUUGGCAUUCAGAGACUCAUCCUCUUAAUACUAAGGGGGAAAAAAGAUCGCAUUGCGGUAUUUGCUAGUUAUUCAUUCCAUGAAGCUUGUUGUAGGACAGAGUUUAGGGCAGAAUGAUUCCUUUAGAGAGCAAUUUGAUGUUGCAGUUGCCAGAGCAGUUGCGGAAAUGAGAGUUUUAGCGGAGUAUUGUCUUCCUCUAGUUCGAGUAGGUGGGUUGUUUGUAGCCGCGAAGGGCCAUGAUCCCCAAGUGGAAGUUCAAAAUGCAGAAAAAUCAAUCCAACUGAUGGGCGCAUCUAUAUUUCAACUUUGCUCAGUGGAAUCACACAGCCCAUAUGGGCAGCGUACAGCCAUCAUAUGUGUAAAAGAUCACCCCACUCCAAGGAAGUAUCCACGUGAUCCAGGUACUCCGGCAAAAUUACCAUUGUAGUGCCCAAUCUUUUUUCCCCCUAACUACUAUGCCUCUUGCACCCUCAUAAAAUGUUUGUAUAGAAUGUUCUAUUUUCAGAUUAGUUUUUACUAUAAUCAAUGAAGCAGGUAAAAGUGUUGUAGAACCUUAAUGUUUGAUCAGUGGCUGACUUGCACUGGUCGUGCAGUCUUUAUUCAUUGAUUUUGUUUUUGUUUGCUUGGAAGAGUGUAUCCACAAAUGGUUGUAAGUUAAUACCGUUUGUUUGUAUAAGAAGAUAAAUACUUGGUCACUUUCAUUUUUUUUUAUUUUUUGUAACUACUGGUUUAUGAAUUUAGGAAUGAG